rnacentral:rRNA from 1 species
GAUGAACGCUGGCGGCGUGCCUAAUACAUGCAAGUCGAGCGAACAGACGAGGAGCUUGCUCCUCUGACGUUAGCGGCGGACGGGUGAGUAACACGUGGAUAACCUACCUAUAAGACUGGGAUAACUUCGGGAAACCGGAGCUAAUACCGGAUAAUAUAUUGAACCGCAUGGUUCAAUAGUGAAAGACGGUUUUGCUGUCACUUAUAGAUGGAUCCGCGCCGCAUUAGCUAGUUGGUAAGGUAACGGCUUACCAAGGCAACGAUGCGUAGCCGACCUGAGAGGGUGAUCGGCCACACUGGAACUGAGACACGGUCCAGACUCCUACGGGAGGCAGCAGUAGGGAAUCUUCCGCAAAGGGCGAGAGCCUGACGGAGCAACGCCGCGUGAGUGAUGAAGGUCUUCGGAUCGUAAAACUCUGUUAUUAGGGAAGAACAAAUGUGUAAGUAACUAUGCACGUCUUGACGGUACCUAAUCAGAAAGCCUCGGCUAACUACGUG